AUUGAACGCUGGCGGCAGGCCUAACACAUGCAAGUCGAGCGGUAGAGAGAAGCUUGCUUCUCUUGAGAGCGGCGGACGGGUGAGUAAUGCCUAGGAAUCUGCCUGAUAGUGGGGGAUAACGUCCGGAAACGGACGCUAAUACCGCAUACGUCCUACGGGGGAAAGUGGGGGCUCUUCGGACCUCACGCUAUCAGAUGAGCCUAGGUCGGAUUAGCUAGUUGGUGGGGUAAAGGCUCACCAAGGCGACGAUCCGUAACUGGUCUGAGAGGAUGAUCAGUCACACUGGAACUGAGACACGGUCCAGACUCCUACGGGAGGCAGCAGUGGGGAAUAUUGGACAAUGGGCGAAAGCCUGAUCCAGCCAUGCCGCGUGUGUGAAGAAGGUCUUCGGAUUGUAAAGCACUUUAAGUUGGGAGGAAGGGUCGUUACCUAAUACGUGACGAUUUUGACGUUACCGACAGAAUAAGCACCGGCUAACUCUGUGCCAGCCGCCGCAGUAAAAC
rnacentral:rRNA from 1 species